rnacentral:rRNA from 1 species
AGAGUUUGAUCAUGGCUCAGGACGAACGCUGGCGGCGUGCCUAAUACAUGCAAGUCGAGCGAAUGUCAGGGAGCUUGCUCCCUGACAUUAGCGGCGGACGGGUGAGUAACACGUGGGCAACCUGCCUAUAAGACUGGGAUAACUUCGGGAAACCGGAGCUAAUACCGGAUACAUUCUUUUCUCGCAUGAGAGAAGAUGGAAAGACGGCAUCUCGCUGUCACUUAUAGAUGGGCCCGCGGCGCAUUAGCUAGUUGGUGAGGUAACGGCUCACCAAGGCCACGAUGCGUAGCCGACCUGAGAGGGUGAUCGGCCACACUGGGACUGAGACACGGCCCAGACUCCUACGGGAGGCAGCAGUAGGGAAUCUUCCGCAAUGGACGAAAGUCUGACGGAGCAACGCCGCGUGAGCGAAGAAGGCCUUCGGGUCGUAAAGCUCUGUUGUUAGGGAAGAACAAGUACCAGAGUAACUGCUGGUACCUUGACGGUACCUAACCAGAAAGCCACGGCUAACUACGUGCCAGCAGCCGCGGUAAUACGUAGGUGGCAAGCGUUGUCCGGAAUUAUUGGGCGUAAAGCGCGCGCAGGUGGUUUCUUAAGUCUGAUGUGAAAGCCCACGGCUCAACCGUGGAGGGUCAUUGGAAACUGGGGAACUUGAGUGCAGAAGAGGAAAGUGGAAUUCCACGUGUAGCGGUGAAAUGCGUAGAGAUGUGGAGGAACACCAGUGGCGAAGGCGACUUUCUGGUCUGUAACUGACACUGAGGCGCGAAAGCGUGGGGAGCAAACAGGAUUAGAUACCCUAGUAGUCC